rnacentral:lncRNA from 1 species
AAGAUAAAGGAUCCAGAAGGAGAAGACGUUUGGCUUAUACCCCAGUUGAGCUGCCUGUGGGAGUGGAGCUGAAGCCAUCGCUAGACCGUUAAUUCCGCCGCUGUUUUCUUUUCUUUGUAAGUAUGUAACGUUAUUAUUAAGAUGGAUUUGUAUAUUAAAAUUGUCAGUUUGUGUACCUCGGCUGAUUCCUGGACGAGGAUUUUAUGCACAAAUAAGUUCGGAAAUUACUAGUGAAUUUCCGGGCGUGACAGUGGAGGUGGGUUGCCCUGAUGGUUGUGGUUGCUGCCUUCAGGUUGGUUGCCAUCACCGGUGGCAGCAUUUCUCCUGGUCGUCACCAUCUGAAAACCCCACACAGAACCAACAAACAGAGAGAGCUGACAAUUAAAGCUAACCACCCACGACUACCAUAAUUCUUAAAUUUAUUACUGCUAUUAAAUUGGUUCAUUAAGGUUCAAGUUGCUUAGGCGAAUAAAUAAAGACAGGCUCCGACACAGUUACACCACACACCAGCAUAACUGUGCCCUACACAACCCAACAAGAAGACAAACGAGAAAGAACACACGCGCAAGCCUACUAACUGCUCGUCUA